GUGGGGAAUAUUGCACAAUGGGCGCAAGCCUGAUGCAGCCAUGCCGCGUGUGUGAAGAAGGCCUUCGGGUUGUAAAGCACUUUCAGCGGGGAGGAAGGGUCACUAGUUAAUACCUAGUGGCAUUGACGUUACUCGCAGAAGAAGCACCGGCUAACUCCGUGCCAGCAGCCGCGGUAAUACGGAGGGUGCAAGCGUUAAUCGGAAUUACUGGGCGUAAAGCGCACGCAGGCGGUUUGUUAAGUCAGAUGUGAAAUCCCCGAGCUCAACUUGGGAACUGCAUUUGAAACUGGCAAGCUAGAGUCUUGUAGAGGGGGGUAGAAUUCCAGGUGUAGCGGUGAAAUGCGUAGAGAUCUGGAGGAAUACCGGUGGCGAAGGCGGCCCCCUGGACAAAGACUGACGCUCAGGUGCGAAAGCGUGGGGAGCAAACAGGAUUAGAUACCCCAGUAGUCC
rnacentral:rRNA from 1 species